ACAAAACUCAACCGCUGCCGAAGAUGUUUUUAUCGUCGUCGUUGGUGUCGUUGUCGUUGCCGUUGGUGUGUGGCAUGCGACGAUGACUAUGGGAGAAUCCACCGCCGCAGCCGCUCGACACUAUCGCAUUGGAAGCAUUCAAAGCCGCCGUUGCCACCACUACCACUACUACUACUACCAACGCAGCAUUGUGGCGAAUGUUUAUAGAUUUUCAGUCGAAUUUUGUUAUUUCACGUACAAAGUGGCGCGCGCGGGCCGCCGCUAUAACAAAUCAAAUCGAGUGAAAAAAUUGUGCCGAAAAUCGUAGUAACAAUAAAAAAAUUAAAAAAAUAACACACACACAAAAUUCAUAUAUCAAAGCAGUGAAUUUACCGUGUGAGCAACGUGUAAGGUGGAGCGUGGAGAAGUGAUAAAGCCAUUCGCACCGAGGUAGCAGCAGCCAACUACUGUAGCGGUUGCACAAAAAUUUGCUAUAAUUGAAAAAAUAACCAAUUAUUGCCGCAAUUUUACUGUAUAGCGUACGCUGUAAGCACAAUGAAAUGGUGCGGUUAGCAGUUGUAGCGGUUGUGAUUUCUAUUUCGCGUAAAUUGCAGGGAAAUUAAGCAAAACACCCACUUAGACGAUCAGAUCAGCUAGCAAAGCGCUUUAAGAGCAUAUGAACACUGAUGCAUACAUAUUACAGAAACGGAUGUGUGUACAGCCUUAAACAUAAACGUUCUGUGUACGCAGCAAAGAUGUGAA
rnacentral:misc_RNA from 1 species